rnacentral:rRNA from 1 species
GAUGAACGCUGGCGGCGUGCCUAAUACAUGCAAGUCGAGCGAACAGAUAAGGAGCUUGCUCCUUUGACGUUAGCGGCGGACGGGUGAGUAACACGUGGGUAACCUACCUAUAAGACUGGGAUAACUUCGGGAAACCGGAGCUAAUACCGGAUAAUAUUUCGAACCGCAUGGUUCGAUAGUGAAAGAUGGUUUUGCUAUCACUUAUAGAUGGACCCGCGCCGUAUUAGCUAGUUGGUAAGGUAACGGCUUACCAAGGCGACGAUCCGUAGCCGACCUGAGAGGGUGAUCGGCCACACUGGAACUGAGACACGGUCCAGACUCCUACGGGAGGCAGCAGUAGGGAAUCUUCCGCAAUGGGCGAAAGCCUGACGGAGCCACGCCGCGUGAGUGAUGAAGGUCUUCGGAUCGUAAAACUCUGUUAUUAGGGAAGAACAUCCGUGUAAGUAACUGUGCACGUCUUGACGGUACCUAAUCAGAAAGCCACGGCUAACUACGUG